rnacentral:misc_RNA from 1 species
UGGUUGAGUACCAAUUUUUCCUUCCUUAGUGCCAACUCUAUUCUUUAAUUUCAACCACGGUGGUUUGGUGUCCUCUUAUAUUGAUGAGACUGCUAAAGCUUGCAAGUCCAGCUCUCAUGGAGAAGCAACCGAAGUCUCAUUGAUAUUCUAUUAGCGACUUCUAGGCCACCUCGCGGCUGGCUACAAUAGAGAGGGACCCUCUGCUGACCAUUAGAGUAGAGAGGGAUGGG